rnacentral:lncRNA from 1 species
GAAGCUGUAAGGAAGUGAAUUCUUGAAAUACGAGGAUUGUACUUCAUCCAGGAUCGACUAAUUGUCGAAAGUAUACCCUUUGUGGGAGUUGGGAAUGUCCAAAGCACAAAAAGUGCCUUGGAGUUGAGUCCGCGAGAGCAAAUGAGGCAAAUUGCAUCAUUGGGCUGAUGUUGCUCUCGGGGACCGGUCUCUGCAGGUGAGAGACCGGUUCCCCUGGCUGGGCGUAGCGGGGUUGCGUGAUGCAACCGGUCCCUGGCAGGGAGGGACCGGUUCCCGAACGUGGUCCCAGCGAGAUUUGCCGAAAAUUGGCUAAGUCCUGAAAAUCGAGCUCUCGGGGACCGGUCUCUCAGGAGAAGACCGGUCUCCCGAGGACCGGUCUCCCGAGGAGAGACCGGUUCCCGAACGCGUGCGCCCGAGGGAAGCUCUCGGGGACCGGUCCCAAGUCGGGGAGACCGGUCCCUCCGCGCGAAAACUGCCUAGUGAAGGCAGUGCACAGGAGUGAAAGUUGAGGGGCUUUUAUGCAAAAUGGCCUUUAUUUGAGUGGGCUGAGCCCUCUCUCUCCCUCACACUCUCUCAUUUCACUCUCUCUCACUCUCAUUUCUCUCUUGCUCUCUCUCUCUCUCUAUAAAGGAAAGAAGGAGAAGAAGAACAAGAAGGAGAGGAAGGAAAAGAAGAGGAAGAUAAGGAAGGAGAAGAAGAAGGAGAUCAAGAGGAAGGCUUUGAGCACCUCCAUCUCCCUCUCCUCUUCCCAUUGGUAUAGCUCUUGAGGUAAGCUACUAAGCCCUAGCUUUGUAAACUUAGGGUUUUUGGAUUUUAUGCUUUGGAAUGGGUCAAAUGAACCCUAAGCUAGCUUCUAAAUAGAUCAAUCCCAAGAAUCUAGGGAUUUAUUGGGUGGUUUGCUAUAGGUGCAAACCUAGGGCUCCAAAAUGGGAUUUUUUGUAAAAGUAUGAGGUUGAUCUCAUUUGAAGCCUUGGAAACCCUAUUGAUAGGUCCCAAAACGCGGGGGCGAAGUCGAUUUCGGCAUUCGGCGAACCGACGUGAAGUUCUCGGCAAAAUCGGACCGGGAUAGUGCGAGGAAGGCUAAAGCCUUUUUGUAAAGCUCGCCGAGAGAGAUUUCCGAAACCUCUACAUCGAUUAAAGGUGGGGGGGGUCAUCCGAAACUUUCGAACUCCUCUCUAUGUCUUAGAUUGGAUUUAAUCUCAUAUCUUCAUGUUGCAUUGUAGGAUUGCAUAGUAGCUCCAUUCCUUAUGCUUUCUGAUUGAUAACCUAGUGUACUUGGAACGCUUGGUAAUUUAGAUAGGUGAGGAUUGGGUCGAGACGUGAAUCCUAUGAUGCGAAAGAAAAGAGAUGAACCCGAUGGGGGUAUUGAUGACAUAGGAAGUAGUGGAUAGUGUUAAAGAACACGAGUGGCAUCCGAAUGAUAAAUGAUGAUGAGUGGCAUUAAUGUAGUGUAGACAACACUAGAGGUCGAUGGACCUAGGGAUAGGUGGAUCCCUUAGAAAAUGCCUUGUGAACAAUGAAUUUAGAAAACUAAAUAGCAUUGCAAGAAUGUCGGGAACCGAUGAUUCCGCGAUAGUCGUUGACCCUAGUAUAGGGCAUCCUCACUUGGAGAGGAUUCGAUUGGGUUAUUGACUCUAGUUGUAGAGCCUCCUCACUUGGAGAGGAUUGGAUUGGGUGUUGACCCUAGUUACAGUGUAUCCUCACAUGGAGGGGAUAGAUCUAGCUCACAGUCUGUGUUUAGGGUGGCAUAGCCAUCCAAUCCCCACAUGGAGGGGAUUGUCGUCGAGUACUCCGGAGUGUCGCGCGACUAGGACCACUUGGAGGUCCAGACCACAUGGAGGUCCGCAGACGGUCCCGGGCUUGGGUGCACUUGGAGCUCCCUCCCCACUUUGGGAUUUGAAGGUGAGUCAUGGGCGAGCCCUAGGGCCUCGCCACAGAUUGGGUAAAUGGAAAGGUUAUUAAUGUCAUUGAACAUUGCUAUUCGAAGAUGGAUCGAAUUUGUUAGCAUGAUAGCAAACCUUUAUUAUAUGAUGCAUGCAUUCAUAUUUCUGAUUAUGGGCAUAGUAGCAUAGUUUUCCUACUACUGCAUUUAUAGUUUUCAGAUACAUAUCUAUCUAUCUAUCUAUCUGUUGUUACUUGUGCCCACUUGGACCUAGUGGGGAGAUCGGCAGGGUCGGCGGCCGAGCCCACUGGGAACUAUGGAAGAUAGUUCUCACCCCACUCUAUUUCCAGUGGUAGGUCCAGGGCUGCAGAGAGAGGACCGCGGCAGGGCGUCGCGCCCGACCAGUGAGACCGUGAUAGUAUAGUAGCUUUCUUUUUUGCAUUAGUCACCUAUGUAUAGAAAGAGAUUUAUUGUGGGUGAGGAAUUGGAGAGCUAUGUAUUUUGGGAUGAAAAAUGAUGUAAAGAAUGCAAUUAUUGUAAUAGUUAGUAAAGUACUCUCUUUAUUUCACUCGUAUAUCUUGUGGAUUACUUGCUCUUCUUGUUGUUGGCACUGUUUGUGCCCUCGUUGAAUGUGUAUGUUUAGAAUUUAAAUUCCUGGGUAAAUUCUUGUACACAUUCCUGUUAUUGAGCCUUGGGCGGACAGGGGUGGUGCUGUCCGUUCGGCGGUCCGUCGCCGCGGCCGAAUCGUACCAAAUCGGUAGUGGUUUCGGGGCGGGGCGUGACAGUCUUUUGUGGUAUCAGAGCAAUAAGAGCAAGUAAAGAGAGUCUAGGAUGACCUAGGAGACCCUAGGUUGGCAAGCUCUAAGGUUAUAGGUGCGUGAGCGAAACGUGAACCUAUAGCGAUGGCGGAGGUUGAAUCGAUUGGGUCGAAGUUGGUAUAGGUCUCUAGUUGUGAUUAGAGACGGAUUCGAGUUGUAUGAGUUCUCGACUUGAGGUGGUUGUGUCGGCGGCCGACGACAUGAUGCCAAGAGUCUAGGACGAGUACGCUUGUGUGCUUCCGCCCGAUUUUGUUGCUGAGUCGUCGUGUGUCGUGAUUCCGACGAGGAAGUUGGUUAAAGUGAUUAACCAAGUGGUUGCGUUUCAGGAGCUAUGGCACCGAAUAGACGCCCAAGUACGAGAUCCACUCCGACACCGCCACCCGAGGUGCCCGAGCAGACGGAGCCGAGCAUGAUGGAUCGGCUGCAGGCGCAAGUGACCGCGUUGACUAAUGUGGUGCAGCGCCAGGAGACCCGAUUCGAGAGGCUCCAGGAGCUUAUGGAGCGGCAGCUCGCGGCGGCGCCCGCGACAGUGGCUGAGGGCGGUGGUCCGCCCGCGCCCUCGACCCGUGUACCCGAGGUGGCGGAGGGUGAGGGUAUAGCGGCGGUUCCAGUGACGGCACGCCCACCGCUAGCGAUCGCACCACAGGCGGCAUCGGGAUCGGCUACACCCGAGGUGUCGGCCGAAGAGGUGGAAGGAGAGCGCGCGUUGGCGGCUCUUAUCAAGUUCAACAAGUUCCAUCCGCCAACUUUUGAGGGCGAGAAGGUGGAACCGGAGAUGGUCGAGUCUUGGAUUGACUCGAUGGAAACUCUCUUCGACGAUUUGCGCACCUUGGAGAGGGAUAUAGUCUACCUCGCCACCCAUUGUUUGGAGAAGGCGGCGAAGGUGUGGUGGAAGCGCGUUAAACGGGAUCGGCUUCCCGGCCUUCCGCCGAUGUUAUGGGAGGAAUUUAAGCGGGAGAUGUUCGCCAACUAUUUCCCCGAUACAUUGAAGCGGAAGCUCAAGGAGAAAUUCCGCAAGUUGGAGCAAAGGGACCGCUCAGUGGCGGAGUAUGAACAAGAGUUCUCCCACAUCAUAGAUUGUGUCCCGGAUGUUGUCAAGGAUGACCGGGACCGGGCCGAGUGGUUCUUGCGAGGACUUCGGCCGGGAAUCUACAAGGCUGUGCAAAUACUUAAGCUCACGACCUUUGCUGAGGUCUUUGAUCGAGCGCUAUGGGCGGAGCACGGAGACGCCCACGUUCGGGAGAAGCGUGAGCUUUUGGCGGAAUCCAAGGAUAAAGGCAAGAAACGCCAAGGCGGCGGUAGUUCGGGAGGACAGACACGUUACAAGAAGCCCCCGAAGUAUGCGCACACUCAACAGAAGAGCGGUGGAGUGCGGCGAUGCAUGAUAUGCGGCGGAGACCACCCGGUCUCGCGCUGUGAACAAGGCCGGGGCAAGUGCUACAAAUGUGGGCAGCCGGGACACUUUAUUCGAGAUUACCCGGGAGGAGGAGCCUCACCUGCCCCUUCAAUUGCAUCGGCGCCGGCGAUUCCGGCUCACUAUGGAGGAACUCCACCGACGGCCGUGUCGACUGGACGCGCGAUGAUGUCACGUCAACCUGAGGUGGCGCGAUCGGCCCCGAGCGGACGGGUAUUCGCCGCUCAGGUCCAAGCUGAGGAACCUGCGGAGGCGGAGGAGCAUCGCCUUGUGGCAGGUAUGGUUUUAAUUAACGGAGUUCGCUCCAGGGCUUUAUUUGAUACAGGAGCCACGCAUUCAUUCAUAAGUAGAUCAUUCGCACGCAUGCAUGGCAUACAUAUAGAAGCGAGUGACAAGUGGCGAGUAGAGGGCCCUGGGUCGACAUUUAAUACCUACUCGGAGUGCGCCUCGUGUCCGGUGCAAAUAGGAGAAUGGAUUAUGCCAAUCCGGACGUUGGAACUCCCGAAACUAGAGGCGUACGAUGUCAUACUGGGUAUAGACUGGCUUUCAAAGUAUCAUGCAAUGAUCGACUGCAAGAGCAGGGUGAUCACGUUCCGUGAGCCAGGACAAGAAGAAUUCACCUAUCAGGCUUGCCAGAGUUCGUGCUUCAUCACGACGGUGUCGGCGACAAGGGCAAGAAAGUUGGUGAGCAACGGUUGUGCGGCAUUUUUGGCAACUGUUGUGGAACUGGAACGAGUAGCUCCAAUAUUGGAAGAGCUAUUGGUGGUGCGGGAGUUCCCGGAUGUGUUUCCCGCGGAAUUGCCGGGGAUACCACCGGAUCGGGAGAUCGAGUUCGUCAUAGACUUGAUUCCCGGCACCGCACCGAUCUCGAAGGCUCCGUACCGAAUGGCGCCGGCGGAAUUGAAGGAGUUGAGCCAACUGCAAGACCUCCUCGACAAGCAAUUUAUCCGGCCAAGUGUAUCACCGUGGGGAGCCCCGGUGUUGUUUGUGCGGAAGAAAGACGGAUUGUUCCGACUCUGUGUGGACUAUCGAGAAUUGAACAGAGUCACGAUCAAGAACAAGUACCCACUACCCCGAAUCGAUGACCUGUUCGAUCAAUUGCAAGGGUCGUGCGUGUACUCGAAGAUAGAUUUGCAGUCCGGCUACCACCAAUUGAAGAUCAAGCCGGAGGAUGUGCAGAAAACUGCGUUUCGUACGCGGUAUGGACAUUACGAAUUCACGGUCAUGCCAUUUGGGCUCACAAAUGCCCCAGCGGCAUUUAUGGAUUUGAUGAACCGUGUCUUCAGGAAAUUCUUGGAUCGAUUUGUCGUGGUCUUCAUAGACAACAUAUUGGUCUACUCUCGUAGCGACGAAGAACAUGCCGAGCAUUUGAGAAUAGUGCUUCAAGUCCUCCGGAAGGAGAAGCUAUAUGCUAAGUUGAAGAAGUGUGACUUCUGUCUCCGAGAAGUCGCAUUUCUAGGGCAUGUAAUUUCCGCGGGUGGAGUUUCUGUAGACCCGAGGAAAGUUGAGGCAAUCAAGUAUUGGCCGCGCCCGACGAAUGUCACGGAGGUUCGAAGCUUCGUGGGUUUGGCGGGCUACUAUAGGCGGUUUGUGGAAGGCUUCUCAAAGAUAGUGAUUCUACUUACUCGUCUGACCCAGAAAGGCACCAAGUUCGUUUGGAGCGAAGAAUGCGACCGGAGUUUCAAAGAGUUGAAGCAAAGAUUGACUUCGACUCCGAUGCUCGCUCUACCGGUGCAGGGCGAAGACUUCGUGGUCUACAGUGAUGCCUCCUAUCUUGGAUUGGGGUGUGUGCUGAUGCAAAACGGGAAAGUGAUUGCCUACGCAUCCCGUCAGCUGAAGAGCUACGAGAAGAACUACCCCAUCCAUGAUUUGGAACUAGCGGCGAUGAUUUUCGCCUUAAAGCUGUGGAGGCACUAUUUAUAUGGUGCCCACUGUGAGAUCUAUACCGACCACAAGAGCUUAAAGUACUUGUUUACUCAGAAGGAGCUCAAUAUGCGUCAGCGGCGGUGGUUGGAGCUGUUAAAGGACUAUGAUGUCGAUAUUCUCUACCACCCCGAGAAGGCAAAUGUGGUCGCGGAUGCGCUGAGUAGGAAGUCGGCGAAGAAUCUCGCUUUUGAUGUUACCCAGCAGACGGCCCUAUGGCGGGAUACGAAACGGCUGGAUCUCGAAGUGGUUCCUCCCGAGAUCCCGGCCCAGUUGACGGCACUCGUUGUCCAACCGACCUUGUUGGAGAGGAUUAAAGAUCUGCAACCCGCAGACCCAGAGCUCCAAAAGGUGCGGCGAAACAUCGAGGAAGGUCGAGGCGGCGACUUCAGUAUAAACGCCGAUGGUGCGCUUCGGUUUAGAAACCGAUGGUGUGUGCCGAAAGAUGGAGAGCUUCGCGAAUUGAUUCUACAAGAAGCACACAGAUCUCCGUAUGCGGAUCACCUGGGCGGCACCAAAAUGUAUCGAGGAUUGAAAAUGCAUUAUUGGUGGCCGGGAAUGAAGGGUGAUAUUGGGCGCUUUGUGGCGAAGUGCUUAACGUGCCAGCAAGUAAAAGCAGAGCGUCGAUUCCCAGCGGAAAACUUCAAAGCCUACCAAUCCCCGUUUGGAAAUGGGAGGAUAUCUCGAUGGAUUUCGUGGUCGGCUUGCCUCGCUCAACGGGCGGCCACGAUGCCAUUUGGGUAAUUGUGGACCGAUUGACGAAGUCGGCUCAUUUCUUGCCGAUCCACACCACGUGGUCGGGUGACAAGUUAGCGCAGGUAUACCUCGACGAGAUAGUGAGACUGCAUGGGGUGCCAAAAUCGAUCGUAUCGGAUCGUGACGCCCGGUUCACUUCACACUUUUGGAAAAGCCUGCAAGAAGCCCUUGGCACGCGGCUCGACUUUAGCACCGCAUUUCAUCCUCAGACCGAUGGGCAAACAGAGAGAACAAUUCAAACUCUGGAGGAUAUGUUGCGAGCGUGUGUCAUCGACUAUAAGGGAAGUUGGUGCGACCACCUACCCAUGGCCGAGUUCGCCUACAACAACAGUUACCAUGCUAGUGUGGAGAUGGCACCGUUCGAGGCUCUCUAUGGGCGGACGUGUCGAUCUCCUAUACACUGGAGCGAUGUAGGCGAGCGUGCCGAGUUCGGCCCAGAUGUGUUGCGAGAAGCGGAAGAGAAGUCCGCCUUGCGCGCAAAAGAUUGCUCACGGCGCAGUCCAGACAGCAAAGUUAUGCAGAUAGGCGCCGUCGAGAUAUAGAAUUCGCGGUGGGCGACCGCGUAUUCCUGAAGGUUUCACCCAUGCGGGGUGUGAAGCGGUUUGGGGUGCGGGGAAAGCUGAGUCCUCGAUACAUUGGGCCAUAUGAGAUAUUGGAACGAGUCGGCACGGUGGCGUAUCGACUUGCUUUGCCGCCGAAACUUGCGGAUGUGCAUAAUGUGUUCCAUGUCUCCAAUCUCCGCAAGUACAUUCACGACCCCGAGCACGCAAUGCUAUAUGAACCGCCGGAACUUCAAGAAGACUUGAGCUAUGAAGAGUUUCCGGUAGGGAUUAUCGCCCGAGAGGUGCGAAAGUUGAGGAAUCGAGAAAUCCCCUAUGUGAAGGUUAGGUGGAGCAAUCAUGACGAUCGCGAAGCCACCUGGGAACUCGAGGAUCUGAUGAGAAAACACCAUCCUCACCUAUUUGAGGAGUAAGGUACGGAUUUGAAUUAAAAUAAAGAAUUGGUUCGUUUCGAGGACGAAACUCCUUUUAAGGAGGGGAGGAUGUAAGGAAGUGAAUUCUCGAAAUACGAGGAUUGUACUUCAUCCAGGAUCGACUAAUUGUCGAAAGUAUACCCUUUGUGGGAGUUGAGAAUGUCCAAAGCACAAAAAGUGCCUUGGAGUUGAGUCCGCGAGAGCAAAUGAGGCAAAUUGCAUCAUUGGGCUGAUGUUGCUCUCGGGGACCGGUCUCUGCAGGUGAGAGACCGGUUCCCCUGGCUGGGCGUAGCGGGGUUGCGUGAUGCAACCGGUCCCUGGCAGGGAGGGACCGGUUCCCGAACGUGGUCCCAGCGAGAGAUGCCAAAAAUUGGCUAAGUCCUGAAAAUCG